UGAGGUCUCAUGUCUGCUUAUGCGGUGGCUCGCUGCUCAGAACAGGGAGGAAGAGGGUAAUCUGGAAGAGUUUCCUGACCUACUCUGCUGCUGUGAUUAAACAACCACCAGGAAAUUUUGAUGACACUGUUCUCCUGAGCUCCUCCCUUUCCUCGGGGAAGAAAAGCAUUGAAACUACAAAAAUAAAGUGUUAUUUGGCUGGAGUGAGGUCUCAUGUCUGCUUAUGCGGUGGCUCGCUGCUCAGAACAGGCUAGAUGCCUGGAAUUUCCCUUGAAGGAAGUCAAGAUUUUCCUUUAUCUCCAUACUGGCUGAUGGUGAUCGAGUAAGCCCCUAAGAGGGGUCCCUGCUCCAUCUCGAGAUGCUGCUAGAUUCUACAGUGCCUAAUAAACAGCUCUCGCCUGGCCGACAAAGAGCUGCUUGCUCUCUGGAUAGCAAUUCCAAAGUGAACAGACAACAUCCUGUUUGGAAGACUGCCACUCUGUUAGAAGAAGCAUCAGGAAAACCUUUCUUUUGAGCUAUUUAUAACUAACAGCAAUUGACCAAGUAUACUUUUGAACCAUUGGAGAUACUCAUUACUCUUUGAAGGCUUACAGUGGAAUGAAUUCAAAUACGACUUAUUUGAGGAAUUGAAGUUGACUUUAUGGAGCUGAUAAGAAUCUUCUUGGAGAAAAAAAGACUGGUACUUCUGAAUUAACCAAAAUCACAGUAUUCUGAAGAUGAUUCUACAAAGCCUGCUGUUUCUACAAAGGCUGCUGAUGAUUUCUACAAAGCCUGCUGUAGUGUUGCUGUGGCCUCUGCUUAAAAAAGUAGAAAACACAUUGAUGCAGCAUGUUCACCCCAACCUCCCUGCCUAAAGGCUCAGGGACCAUCUUGGAAGAGGAAGGCGCGUGAGAUUGUAAGAGCCGAAUUAGGGGGAUGGAGUGUGGAGAAUAAGGACACUUCAUCUUGGAUGCUCACCUGCCAAAUUGACUUCUGAUGAAAGCCAGCUCCAGAAAUGUGCCUACAGUUACUACUUUCACCUAAACCCUGCCCUUAGUCAAAUCCUUCUCUUCUUCUAAGCAAUCAACUUCAAUUCCUUGUAUAACCCACAGUAUAAAAGGGCUUUUAUACCAUUCUAUCCUAUUGCAUGUAAGCCUUGGGUCUGGGAGGUAACAGUGUGGGAUUCCACCAUCUCAUCUCCCUGCCACCCAAACAUGCCUGCUCUUCUUUAAGCAAUAUUAAAUGUUUGUACUUCAGAAA
rnacentral:lncRNA from 1 species